AUUGAACGCUGGCGGCAUGCCUUACACAUGCAAGUCGAACGGCAGCACGGGUGCUUGCACCUGGUGGCGAGUGGCGAACGGGUGAGUAAUACAUCGGAACAUGUCCUGUAGUGGGGGAUAGCCCGGCGAAAGCCGGAUUAAUACCGCAUACGAUCUACGGAUGAAAGCGGGGGACCUUCGGGCCUCGCGCUAUAGGGUUGGCCGAUGGCUGAUUAGCUAGUUGGUGGGGUAAAGGCCUACCAAGGCGACGAUCAGUAGCUGGUCUGAGAGGACGACCAGCCACACUUGGACUUAGACACCGCCCCGACUCCUACGGGAGGGCGCAGUGGGGAAUUUUGGACAAUGGGCGAAAGCCUGAUCCAGCAAUGCCGCGUGUGUGAAGAAGGCCUUCGGGUUGUAAAGCACUUUUGUCCGGAAAGAAAUCCUUGGCCCUAAUACGGUCGGGGGAUGACGGUACCGGAAGAAUAAGCACCGGCUAACUACGUG
rnacentral:rRNA from 1 species